rnacentral:rRNA from 1 species
GUCCACCCCGUAAACGUUGGGAACUAGUUGUGGGGACCUUUCCACGGUUUCCGUGACGCAGCUAACGCAUUAAGUUCCCCGCCUGGGGAGUACGGCCGCAAGGCUAAAACUCAAAGGAAUUGACGGGGACCCGCACAAGCGGCGGAGCAUGCGGAUUAAUUCGAUGCAACGCGAAGAACCUUACCAAGGCUUGACAUAUACGAGAACGGGCCAGAAAUGGUCAACUCUUUGGACACUCGUAUACAGGUGGUGCAUGGUUGUCGU